UACCGGAUAAGACCACGGCCUGUUCGCAGGCUGCGGCUAAAGGUGGCCUCUCCAUGGAAGCUAUCGCCCGAGGAUGAGCCCGCGCCCCAUCAGCUUGUUGGUGAGGUAAGAGCUCACCAAGGCUUAGACGGGUAGCUGGUCUGAGAGGAUGGUCAGCCACACUGGAACUGAGACACGGUCCAGACUCCUACGGGAGGCAGCAGUGGGGAAUAUUGCGCAAUGGGCGGAAGCCUGACGCAGCGACGCCGCGUGAGCGAUGAAGGCCUUCGGGUCGUAAAGCUCUGUUGGAAGUGAACGAAAAAGUCCAUGGUUAAUAUCCAUGGACCCUGACGGUACUCUUCCAGAAAGCACCGGCUAACUCCGUGCCAGCAGCCGCGGUAAUACGGAGGGUGCUAGCGUUGUUCGGAAUCAUUGGGCGUAAAGCGCGGGUAGGCGGGGCGGCGUGUCGGAUGUGAAAGCCCUCGGCUCAACCGAGGAAUUGCAUCCGAAACUGUCGCUCUUGAGUACGGGAGUGGGAAGCGGAAUUCCCAGUGUAGAGGUGAAAUUCGUAGAUAUUGGAAGGAACACCGGUGGCGAAGGCGGCUUCCUGGACCGAUACUGACGCUGAGACGCGAAAGCGUGGGUAGCAAACAGGAUUAGAUACCCUGGUAGUCCACGCAGUAAACGAUGAGCACUAGGUGUUGCGGGUAUCGACCCCUGCAGUGCCGAAGCCAACGCAUUAAGUGCUCCGCCUGGGGACUACGGUCGCAAGACUAAAACUCAAAGGAAUUGACGGGGGCCCGCACAAGCGGUGGAGCAUGUGGUUCAAUUCGACGCAGCGCGCAGAACCUUACCCGGGCUUGACAUCCUGGGAAUCCCCGAGGAAACCGGGGAGUGCCUGCUUUGCAGGAGCCCAGUGACAGGUGCUGCAUGGCUGUCGUCAGCUCGUGUCGUGAGAUGUUGGGUUAAGUCCCGCAACGAGCGCAACCCUCGUCCUUAGUUGCCAGCAUUCAGUUGGGCACUCUAAAGAGACUGCCGGUGUUAAACCGGAGGAAGGCGAGGACGACGUCAAGUCCUCAUGGCCCUUAUGCCCGGGGCUACACACGUGCUACAAUGGCCGGUACAAUGGGCUGCGAACCUGUGAAGGGAAGCUAAUCCCAAAAAGCUGGUCUCAGUUCGGAUUGGAGUCUGCAACUCGACUCCAUGAAGGAGGAAUCG
rnacentral:rRNA from 1 species